GGCUCCGGGUGGCCGUGACCCUGCUGGAGUCCGGGGGGGACCUCCAGCCCCCCGGGGGGUCCCUGCGCCUCCUGUGCCGAGGGUCCGGCGUCAAUUUCGGCAGUUUUGGAAUGUUGAUCCGUCAGAGCCCCGGGCAGGGGCUGGAAUACAUCGCGAGUAUCAGCUACAAUGGUGGCAGCACCUACUACGCGCCGUCAUUCAAGGGCCGGGUGACGAUCUCCAGGGACAACGGGCAGAGCUUGGUGACGCUGACCAUGAACAGCCUCACGGACGAGGAUUCCGGAUCCUAUUUCUGCGCCAGGCGUUUCACCAGCGGCUGGUACAUUAACACUGCUCCUGGCGGCGCCGGUUCCGGUGGCGAUGCCGUGCCCCAAAGCCCAAACGCUGCGUCCCCAGCAGGGGCAGGAGGGGGAUGGGGAGACCCCCGGGGGUCCCUGCAGCUCCGCGUGGGAUUUUAG